rnacentral:rRNA from 1 species
GGAGGGUGCGAGCGUUGUCCGGAAUCACUGGGCGUAAAGGGCGCGUAGGCGGCCUGAUAAGUAGGGGGUGAAAUCCUGCGGCUUAACCGCAGGGCUGCCUUCUAAACUGUCGGGCUCGAGCACAGUAGAGGCAGGUGGAAUUCCCGGUGUAGCGGUGGAAUGCGUAGAGAUCGGGAAGAACAUCAGUGGCGAAGGCGGCCUGCUGGGCUGUUGCUGACGCUGAGGCGCGACAGCGUGGGGAGCAAACAGGAUUAGAUACCCUGGUAGUCCACGCCGUAAACGAUGGGCACUAGGCGUCGGGGGGAGCGACCCUCCCGGUGCCGUCGCUAACGCAGUAAGUGCCCCGCCUGGGGAGUACGGCCGCAAGGCUGAA